rnacentral:rRNA from 1 species
GGGUUGUGAGGUUAAGCGACUAAGCGUACACGGUGGAUGCCCUGGCAGUCAGAGGCGAUGAAGGACGUGCUAAUCUGCGAAAAGCGUCGGUAAGGUGAUAUGAACCGUUACAGCCGGCGAUGUCCGAAUGGGGAAACCCAGUGCAAUUCGUUGCACUAUCGUUAACUGAAUACAUAGGUUAACGAGGCGAACCGGGGGAACUGAAACAUCUAAGUACCCCGAGGAAAAGAAAUCAACCGAGAUUCCCCCAGUAGCGGCGAGCGAACGGGGAGCAGCCCAGAGUCUGAAUCAGCUUGUGUGUUAGUGGAACGGUCUGGAAAGUCCGACGGUACAGGGUGAUAGUCCCGUACACCAAAAUGCACAGGCUGUGAACUCGAAGAGUAGGGCGGGACACGUGGUAUCCUGUCUGAAUAUGGGGGGACCAUCCUCCAAGGCUAAAUACUCCUGACUGACCGAUAGUGAACCAGUACCGUGAGGGAAAGGCGAAAAGAACCCCGGCGAGGGGAGUGAAAAAGAACCUGAAACCGUGUACGUACAAGCAGUGGGAGCACCUUCGGGUGUGACUGCGUACCUUUUGUAUAAUGGGUCAGCGACUUAUAUUCUGUAGCAAGGUUAACCGUAUAGGGGAGCCGCAGGGAAACCGAGUCUUAACUGGGCGUUAAGUUGCAGGGUAUAGACCCGAAACCCGGUGAUCUAGCCAUGGGCAGGUUGAAGGUUGGGUAACACUAACUGGAGGACCGAACCGACUAAUGUUGAAAAAUUAGCGGAUGACUUGUGGCUGGGGGUGAAAGGCCAAUCAAACCGGGAGAUAGCUGGUUCUCCCCGAAAGCUAUUUAGGUAGCGCCUCGUGAAUUCAUCUUCGGGGGUAGAGCACUGUUUCGGCUAGGGGGUCAUCCCGACUUACCAACCCGAUGCAAACUACGAAUACCGAAGAAUGUUAUCACGGGAGACACACGGCGGGUGCUAACGUCCGUCGUGAAGAGGGAAACAACCCAGACCGCCAGCUAAGGUCCCAAAGUCAUGGUUAAGUGGGAAACGAUGUGGGAAGGCACAGACAGCCAGGAUGUUGGCUUAGAAGCAGCCAUCAUUUAAAGAAAGCGUAAUAGCUCACUGGUCGAGUCGGCCUGCGCGGAAGAUGUAACGGGGCUAAACCAUGCACCGAAGCUGCGGCAGCGACACUAUGUGUUGUUGGGUAGGGGAGCGUUCUGUAAGCCUGCGAAGGUGUGCUGUGAGGCAUGCUGGAGGUAUCAGAAGUGCGAAUGCUGACAUAAGUAACGAUAAAGCGGGUGAAAAGCCCGCUCGCCGGAAGACCAAGGGUUCCUGUCCAACGUUAAUCGGGGCAGGGUGAGUCGACCCCUAAGGCGAGGCCGAAAGGCGUAGUCGAUGGGAAACAGGUUAAUAUUCCUGUACUUGGUGUUACUGCGAAGGGGGGACGGAGAAGGCUAUGUUAGCCGGGCGACGGUUGUCCCGGUUUAAGCAUGUAGGCUGGUUGUCCAGGCAAAUCCGGAUAAUCAAGGCUGAGGUGUGAUGACGAGGUACUACGGUGCUGAAGUAACAAAUGCCCUGCUUCCAGGAAAAGCCUCUAAGCAUCAGGUAACAUUAAAUCGUACCCCAAACCGACACAGGUGGUCAGGUAGAGAAUACCAAGGCGCUUGAGAGAACUCGGGUGAAGGAACUAGGCAAAAUGGUGCCGUAACUUCGGGAGAAGGCACGCUGGUGUGUAGGUGAAGUCCCUGCGGAUGGAGCUGAGACCAGUCGAAGAUACCAGCUGGCUGCAACUGUUUAUUAAAAACACAGCACUGUGCAAACACGAAAGUGGACGUAUACGGUGUGACGCCUGCCCGGUGCCGGAAGGUUAAUUGAUGGGGUUAUCCGUAAGGAGAAGCUCUUGAUCGAAGCCCCGGUAAACGGCGGCCGUAACUAUAACGGUCCUAAGGUAGCGAAAUUCCUUGUCGGGUAAGUUCCGACCUGCACGAAUGGCGUAAUGAUGGCCAGGCUGUCUCCACCCGAGACUCAGUGAAAUUGAACUCGCUGUGAAGAUGCAGUGUACCCGCGGCAAGACGGAAAGACCCCGUGAACCUUUACUAUAGCUUGACACUGAACAUUGAGCCUUGAUGUGUAGGAUAGGUGGGAGGCUUUGAAGCGUGGACGCCAGUCUGCGUGGAGCCAACCUUGAAAUACCACCCUUUAAUGUUUGAUGUUCUAACGUUGGCCCCUGACCGGGGUUGCGGACAGUGUCUGGUGGGUAGUUUGACUGGGGCGGUCUCCUCCCAAAGCGUAACGGAGGAGCACGAAGGUUAGCUAAUCCUGGUCGGACAUCAGGAGGUUAGUGCAAUGGCAUAAGCUAGCUUGACUGCGAGCGUGACGGCGCGAGCAGGUGCGAAAGCAGGUCAUAGUGAUCCGGUGGUUCUGAAUGGAAGGGCCAUCGCUCAACGGAUAAAAGGUACUCCGGGGAUAACAGGCUGAUACCGCCCAAGAGUUCAUAUCGACGGCGGUGUUUGGCACCUCGAUGUCGGCUCAUCACAUCCUGGGGCUGAAGUAGGUCCCAAGGGUAUGGCUGUUCGCCAUUUAAAGUGGUACGCGAGCUGGGUUUAGAACGUCGUGAGACAGUUCGGUCCCUAUCUGCCGUGGGCGCUGGAGAAUUGAGGGGGGCUGCUCCUAGUACGAGAGGACCGGAGUGGACGCAUCACUGGUGUUCGGGUUGUCAUGCCAAUGGCACUGCCCGGUAGCUAAAUGCGGAAGAGAUAAGUGCUGAAAGCAUCUAAGCACGAAACUUGCCCCGAGAUGAGUUCUCCCUGAGACUUUAAGUCUCCUGAAGGAACGUUGAAGACGACGACGUUGAUAGGCCGGGUGUGUAAGCGCAGCGAUGCGUUGAGCUAACCGGUACUAAUGAACCGUGAGGCUUAACCUUACAACGCCGAAG